AUUGGAGACGGCCCCAGAUGCAGUGGGAGACUUUAGCCUUUUUCAGGUUCAGAAGUUCCAUAGCAGUAUUCCAAAGGUAUAUGACGUCAGCACCCUUUCAUAAAGAGUAAAGUGGAUUAAGAUUUUCUUCAGACAAAGAUGAGUUGUAUUCUUUGAUCAAUUUAUUGAGAUGGAGAAACUGAGAACCAGAAAGUAGAAGUGACCUGCCUACAAACAUGAAGGAAGUUGAGGGGGGAUGAAAAUAUGACCCAUGGUCCUCUGAUGAAGUCUUCUUUCCCAUUCUUCUCAACAAGUUUAGGUAUAACCAGGAGUGAACAUAGUAAGAUUAAUUAAUAACAGAUGGACAGGCUCAAUGCAUACCCAGAUGGUGGCCUCCAGCAAGUUGCACUGGUUCUUUCUGGAGAACUUAUGGAGGACUGUGGACAAGAAUCAUACAGGAUGAGGUAUGAGUGACUCACCCAGAAUCACACAUCAAUUCUGUGCCAGAGGCAGGAUUUGAAUUCAGGUCUUCCUGACUCUGCUAGCAAUCACAUGAUCUUUGUCUAAGGGUUGAGGUGGGCAGGUUGUUGAUGUCAGAACAAGAAGGCUCAUGCUGGAUACAUUCCAUUUUUUAGUUAUUAUACUCUGAUUCCAUCUCUUGAUAUUUCGGUGGAUCCAUGAUAUCAUAGACCUUGAUAUUUGCUCCAAUUAUGCCAUUAACAGUUCAUCCCUGCCUUCCCAUCCUGUGCAUUUUUUUUUUCAUUUCUCAUGAAUCCUCCCCAGAGGAUUCUAAGAGUCUCUUAAUAUGAUUUGGAUACCAGCAGAGCUGUAUAUGUUGUCCAUCACUAUCAUGUGACAGGGCCAUCUUUUUCCCCCCAGAUCACCAAUUUCUCUGAUGACAUCUUCUAUACAACUUUUUAAAAGCAAUUUAUUUGUAAAUUUAUUUGCAUCACAGUGGAUUCAUGUCCAUCAUACCCUAAUCUAUCACAUCUUUAGGCAAGUCUUCACUUAAGUUCUAAAGAGACUGUCCUUUUCAAUAUUCCAGCAGCACAUCACCAGAAGAAUAUCUGUAUUAAAAUUUACCUUUGAGAUAGAAAUCUGAGAGCAUUAAAAGUACUGCACUAAAGACUAAUUUCUAAAGGUAUAUUGAUAUGGGGGUAUUUAGGUGAUACAAUAGAUAAUGGAAUAAACCUGGAGUAAGGAAAACUCAUUUUAACAAAUUUGAAUCCAGCCUCAGACACUUACAAACUCUGUGAUCCUGAGCAAGUCACUCACUCUAUUUGCCUCAGUUUCCUCAUCUGUAAAGUAAGCUGGCAAAGAAUAUUAUCUUUGCCAAGAAAAUACCAAAUGAAGUCACAAAGAAUCAAAUAUGGUUUUGAAAAAAACUCAAUAACACUCGCAUAGCAGAUAGCCAAUAUUAAAGCCAGGAAUAUCGGUGUUCCACUGCUACCUCUGACCCUGUGUGUUGCCCUGGACAAAUCACUUAACCUAGAAGUAUUCUAAGCAAUACUCCAAGACUAAAAGUUGCAGAAAAGGUGCCAACCCAUAUUAGUAUAAGGAA